rnacentral:rRNA from 1 species
ACGCUCGACACCUACGGGAGGCGGCAGUGGGGAAUAUUGCACAAUGGGGGAAACCCUGAUGCAGCGACGCCGCGUGAAGGAAGAAGUAUUUCGGUAUGUAAACUUCUAUCAGCAGGGAAGAAACUGACGGUACCUGACUAAGAAGCACCGGCUAAAUACGUGUCAGCAGCCGCGGUAAUCUGAGCGGGCUGGCAAGGC